CGUUGGAUAAGGAAUUGGUAGGUAAGGCCUUCCAAGCCGGCGAUCCAUAGCCGUUCGGAGAGGAGAUCAGCCAGACUGGAACUGGGACCCGGUCCAGACUCCUACGGGAGGCAGCAGUGAGGAUCUUCCCCAAUGGGCGAAAGCCUGAUGGAGCAACGCCGCGUGAAGGAUGAAGCCUUCGGGUUGUAAACUUCUUUUAUGAGUGAAGAAUAUGACGGUAACUCAUGAAUAAACACCCGGCUAACUACGUGCCAGCAGCCGCGGUCAUACGUAGGGUGCGAGCAUUAUCCGGAGUGACUGGGCGUAAAGAGUUGCGUAGGCGGUUUAAUAAGUGAAUAGUGAAACCUGGUGGCUCAACCAUACAGACUGUUAUUCAAACUGUUAAACUCGAGAAUGGUAGAGGUAACUGGAAUUUCUUGUGUAGGAGUGAAAUCCGUAGAUAUAAGAAGGAACACCAAUGGCGUAGGCAGGUUACUGGGCCAUUUCUGACGCUAAGGCACGAAAGCGUGGGGAGCGAACCGGAUUAGAUACCCGGGUAGUCCACGCCGUAAACGAUGGAUACUAGCUGUUGGAGGUAUCGACCCCUUCAGUAGCGAAGCUAACGCGUUAAGUAUCCCGCCUGUGGAGUACGGCCGCAAGGCUAAAACAUAAAGGAAUUGACGGGGACCCGCACAAGCGGUGGAUUAUGUUCUUUAAUUCGAUGAUAACCGAAGAACCUUACCAGGGCUUGACAUCCAGGGAAGGUCUGCGAAAGUAGACUGUGCCUUUUGGAACCCUGUGACAGGUGAUGCAUGGCCGUCGUCAGCUCGUGUCGUGAGAUGUUAGGUUAAGUCCUUCAACGAGCGCAACCCUUGCAAGUAGUUGUAUUUUUCUACUUGGACUGCCCCGGUAACGGGGAGGAAGGAGGGGAUGAUGUCAGGUCAGUAUUUCCCUUACGUCCUGGGCUAGAAACGUAAUACAAUGGCUAGUACAAUGCGCAGCGAAGCCGCGAGGUGAAGCAAAUCGCAUCAAAGCUAGUCCCAGUUCGGAUUGCAGGCUGAAACUCGCCUGCAUGAAGUCGGAAUCGCUAGUAAUCGCAAAUCAGCAAGUUGCGGUGAAUACGUUCCCGGGUCUUGUACACACCGCCCGUCAAACCAUGAAAGUGACCAACACCCGAAGUCCGAUUCGUCGGCCUAAGGUGGGGGCCUUAAUGGGGGUUAAGUCGUAACAAGGUAACC
rnacentral:rRNA from 1 species